UGGCAGUGAUCGCAAGUUAG
rnacentral:miRNA from 1 species